rnacentral:rRNA from 1 species
AUUGAACGCUGGCGGCAGGCUUAACACAUGCAAGUCGAGCGGGGGAGGUUGCCUCGGCAACUGACCUAGCGGCGGACGGGUGAGUAAUGCUUAGGAAUCUGCCUAUUAGUGGGGGACAACAUUCAGAAAGGGAUGCUAAUACCGCAUACGCCCUACGAGGCACAGCCGGGGAUCUUCGGACCUUGCGCUAAUAGAUGCGCCUAAGUCGGAUUAGCUAGCUGGGGGGGUACAGGCCUACCAAGGCGACGAUCUGUAGCGGGUCUGAGAGGAUGAUCAGCCACACUGGGACGGAGACACGGCCCAGACUCAUACGGGAGGCAGCAGUGGGGAAUAUUGGACAAUGGGCGGAAGCCUGAUCCAGCCAUGCCGCGUGUGUGAAGAAGGCCUUUUGGUUGUAAAGCACUUUAAGCGAGGAGGAGGCUCUUAAGGUUAAUACCCUUGAUGAGUGGACGUUACUCGCAGAAUAAGCACCGGCUAACUCUGUGCCAGCCGCCGCGGUAACAC